AUGUUUUCCCAAUAUACCAAGUUCGAUAAAGCACCACGAUCUGGUCCAAAGGCAUAUGUUAGUGAGUAUGCUGUUUGGAGGGAAGAUGCAGGUAAUGGAAGCCUUUAUGCAGCUUUGGCUGAAGCUGCAUUUCUUAUUGGACUCGAAAAAAAUAGUGAUGUUGUCAGCAUGGUUGCCUAUGCACCCCUCUUUGUAAACACAAAUGACAAAUAG